rnacentral:rRNA from 1 species
AACGAACGCUGGCGGCAGGCUUAACACAUGCAAGUCGAACGGGUGUAGCAAUACAUCAGUGGCAGACGGGUGAGUAACACGUGGGAACCUUCCUAGGGGUACGGAACAACUCAGGGAAACUUGAGCUAAUACCGUAUACGUCCGUGAGGAGAAAGAUUUAUCGCCCUUAGACGGGCCCGCGUCGGAUUAGCUAGUUGGGGGGGUUACGGCCUACCAGGGCGACGAUCCGUAGCUGAUCUUAGAGGAGGAUCAGCCACACUGGGACUGAGACACGGCCCAGACUCCUACGGGAGGCAGCAGGGGGGAAUAUUGGACAAUGGCCGAAAGCCUGAUCCAGCCAUGCCGCGUGAGUGAUGAAGGCCUUAGGGUUGUAAAGCUCUUUCAGUGGGGAAGAUAAUGACGGUACCCACAGAAGAAGCCCCGGUUAACUUCGUGCCAGCCGCCGCGGUAAUAC